UACGUAGGGGGGCAAGCGUUGUCCGGAUUUAUUGGGCGUAAAGAGCGUGUAGGCGGCUAGAUAGGUCCGUUGUGAAAACUGGAGGCUCAACCUCCAGACGUCGACGGAAACCGUGUGGCUAGAGUCCGGAAGAGGAGAGUGGAAUUCCUGGUGUAGCGGUGAAAUGCGCAGAUAUCAGGAAGAACACCAAUGGCGAAGGCAGCUCUCUGGGACGGUACUGACGCUGAGACGCGAAAGCGUGGGGAGCGAACAGG
rnacentral:rRNA from 1 species